rnacentral:rRNA from 1 species
AUUGAACGCUGGCGGCAUGCCUUACACAUGCAAGUCGAACGGUAACAGGUCUUCGGAUGCUGACGAGUGGCGAACGGGUGAGUAAUACAUCGGAACGUGCCUAGUAGUGGGGGAUAACUACUCGAAAGAGUGGCUAAUACCGCAUGAGAUCUACGGAUGAAAGCAGGGGAUCGCAAGACCUUGUGCUGAUAGAGCGGCCGAUGGCAGAUUAGGUAGUUGGUGGGAUAAAAGCUUACCAAGCCGACGAUCUGUAGCUGGUCUGAGAGGACGAUCAGCCACACUGGGACUGAGACACGGCCCAGACUCCUACGGGAGGCAGCAGUGGGGAAUUUUGGACAAUGGGCGCAAGCCUGAUCCAGCAAUGCCGCGUGCAGGAUGAAGGCCUUCGGGUUGUAAACUGCUUAUGUACGGAACGAAAAGCCCCGGGUUAAUACCCUGGGGUCAUGACGGUACCGUAAGAAUAAGCACCGGCUAACUACGUGCCAGCCGCCGCAGUAA